GGAGCGCGGCCAAGCGCUGUGUUUUUCCAGGUCGGUCCCGGGCCAGGAGAGCCGUGCGUGUGUGUUUGUUGGGAGUGGAUUUCUGGGAAAGUCGACGGAAGGUCCCCUGCGAAUGGCAUGUACCGUAUUGUGUGGGAGCCCGCAGCCGGUAAAGUAAAUGUCAGGCAACACAGAGGGAGGAAGUGUGCCCCUGCUGAUGCUGCCGCUGAGAACUUCACCAAACAAAGACAAUGGCUAAAAGCAAAGUGUGGCGUGUGGGAACACUGGAGCCCUGGAGCACAGGGAACUAGCUUCUGUCUGUGGCAGAUUGGAGAUUAAAGAAGCUCAGUGGACUCCAAAUAUGAUAAAUUGAAGGACACCCACAUCUGGAUAUCACAAGUACAACGGUGAAAAUCUUGGCGGAGAAAGACCCUUGAAAGAGGCCAGAGGGAAAACUGCAUUUCCCUGUAGGGCAAUACAGAGCCUGAUGGUUAUGGAUUUCUUCUGACCCAUUACGAAGGUGAUAGAUCAACAUCUUUAACGUGAUGCUAAACAAAACAAAAAACCAAAACCAAAACAAACCAACUACAAAAAAAACCAGCCAAACAGAAAAAAACAACCAUCAACACAAAAUUCUGAAUCCAGUCAUGAUAUUCUCCGUAUAAAACAAGAAUAAAGCAAUUCCCAGAUUAAGGAAAACUAAGAGAAUUUGACUUAAGAAAGCUUUUCCUGUAACAAAGUUUGGGGGACCAGCAUUGUGACAUGGUGGGUUAAGCUGCCACCUGCUACUCCAGCAUCCCAUAUGGGCACUGGCUCUUGUGCAGCCGCUCCGCUUUCUCUCAGCUCCCUCUUGGCUUCUGCCCAGCCUGGUCCAGCCCCAGCUGUUGCUGCUAUUUGGGGAGUAAACCAGUGGAUGGUAGAUCUCUCCCCAUUUCUCUCUCUCUCUCUGUCUCUCUAAUUGUAUAAAUAAAUAAAUUUAUACAGAAAGCAUUUAUAGUAAUCUCCAAGACAACUGCUAAAAACUACAAGAACAUUUAGUCAAAAUGUCAAUGAUAAAUUUAGGCGGAAUACUAAAAAUCAUUUAAAUAAACUGAAAGAAGGCUGUAAAGGGUCACAGAGGAACUAAAACAGAGGUGACCAUUUGAUAGCAAGUAUC